UACAGAGGGGGCAAGCGUUGUUCGGAAUUACUGGGUGUAAAGGGCGCGUAGGCGGCCUGUUAAGUCGAACGUGAAAUCCCUGGGCUCAACCCAGGAACUGCGUCCGAUACUGGCAGGCUUGAAUUCGGGAGAGGGAUGCGGAAUUCCAGGUGUAGCGGUGAAAUGCGUAGAUAUCUGGAGGAACACCGGUGGCGAAGGCGGCAUCCUGGACCGACAUUGACGCUGAGGCGCGAAAGCCAGGGGAGCAAACGGG
rnacentral:rRNA from 1 species